CGACCCCUUUCCCGUUUGGUCCUUGCUAGUUGAAGACCUAGCUAGCCAGACACAUUUUUAUUUUAUUUAACUAGGCAAGUCAGUUAAGAACAAAUUCUUAUUUACAAUGACGGUCUACACAGGCCAAACUCGGACGACGCUGGGCCAAUUGUGCCGCCCUGUGGGACGCCCAUUCACGGCCGGAUGUGAUGCAGCCUGGAUUCGAACAAGGACCAAGAGGUGACAUCAGGCCUGAAGAUCCCAGGCGUGCCACUCCUGUAUAUCAUCCUCAACACCAUAGUGUUGGACAAGCCCAGCCUAUGCUCUGUGAACCAUGUGCAGGCUGUGGCUCUGAGAGAGAUGGUCACCCCAGCAGCAGAGCAUCAACAACCUGAAGGAGGUGCAGGGGAUUGGGCAGGAUGGAGAGCACCAGGGCAAGAAGCGUAAGAGGAAAAUCUCCAACCCCAACCUGCCUGAAGAAGAAAAAACAGACACAGCCACAGCUGCUUAAGACUGAGGGUAAAAAGAAGAGUCGGCAAAGGAAAGUCGCAAGUCAGAGGGAGGGGAGGGUCCAUCCCUAAAACCAACCCCAAACCCCUAGUGGUAGGAAGAGAUGUAUGUUUUGAGGGCAGGAUAUAACCAAUGUUUUUCCCUCCCCAAAAAUUGAACUGAAUAUAAGAAAUAAAUAUUUUUUAUAUAUAUAUAUAUAUACACAUAGAUAAUCUCUACUAAACCAAUUUGCUCCUCUAUUUGCCAGUUUAAAGGUAUCCCAAUUCAAUGUCUGGAGAACAUAUUUUGCAGAAGCACACAGCCAUGUCAGCAUGCUUCUAAAAAAUGUAUUCUUAAAACAGUUCAAUCUUGUUUGUUGAACAUCAGAAGGUAUUGAUCUAAGUCAUUAUAGUAAGUCCAUAGCAAUUACAUCCAAUUCACUGGCUCAAUGAACCAGCUAUGAAAAGGAUUCAUUGACAUGAACUGUUGAAACAGUAUUCAUUUUAUUAAAAAAGUAACAAGUUGCUGGGCCUCAGGACUACAGGCAUAAUACAUAAUACACUUCAGCAACAGUAUCUACAAGGUGUCAUUUUGGGUUUUAUACAAAAAGGAGAAUGCAAGUUUACCGGUGCAGAGUUAAAGGGAUGAGCUGAAACAUUACAUGAUAUACAAUUUCAGAAGUUAGUGGGUAUCAAAACAAUGCAUUUGUAGCUAUGAACCAUAAGAUGAGCAAUAUCGUAUUCAAGCUAUCGAAGAAUGACUCUCACAACACCUAAGCACAUAAGUGAAUUAAGACUUCCCAGUAGUUAUCAUUGCAGCAACUAUCUUUUAGAUGAUUAAUACCAAAUAAAAGUUUCUCUAGUUGCCAGAGAUUACUUGACAUUGAGCUGCAUCAAAGAGUUGAUGAAUGAAAUGUCAUUUCUGGACACAAUUGAAAUUUAGAUUUUGUUAAAUAGCUUAAAAUAUCUGAUGUGAAAAAAAGUCUUAUUCUGGUCAAACCAUUU